rnacentral:tRNA from 1 species
ACCCGGCUGGCGCAAUGGUAGCGCGUCAGACUUCUAAUCUGAAGGUUGUGGGUUCGACCCCCACGUUGGGUU